GGAGAGCGUUUGUUGCUGCUCGCGUGGGCGCUGAGGCGCUGUUGUGCUGUGGGGGGCGCGAGCAUUGGGCUGGCUCGGACUGGCGGGGGGAGGGCUAUCCCUCGUUCGGCGGUCCGCUGGGGUUUUAAGGGUAUCACUAGGUGCGUUCCUGUGCUUGGCUCUCGGAGGGGUCUGUACCUUGCUGAGCCUGUAUGUGUGGGAGAGGGGAAGAAAAGAGGUUGGCUGAAACAAAGUCCUUGUUGUAGCUCACCUGGGAAGCUUAUUUUUGUACAGCUGGGGAUGCCUAAUGAUAGGUGUUUCCCCUCCUUGCUGUUAGAAAACUCUCAGGAAUAGUCAAAAGUGGCAGAGCAGGUUAGGUGUGUGUGUGCUGCAUCGCUUGCCCUUUUAAAAGAGGGUUUUAUCUGUCUAGUGCCAUGUCCCACUGCAGAUGAAGGUCUGCUAUGUGCCGAGCUUGGGCUGUGUGUUCUGGGCGGGUCCCAGCCUUCAGCAUUGCCCGUGGAAACACAGUGGGUAUGCAGAUCAGCACUUGCUAAAUGGCUGUGGGCUGGACGAGGAACAUGCUUUACUGUUGUCCCCUGUUGUACCUCCAAAGCAAACUGGCAUCAUAAUGCUGCUGGAAGAGAAAGCUCCUGCUGUUGAUAUUAUUGUUCAGUGAGACCUCGGACUCAUACACAUGGAUACUCUGUCUGAUGCCUUGCACAGACAGAAUAUUUUGGUAGGCUGAUCAACAUUCGUUUUACCUACGUAGAUGCUUGGCUUAUGAUGUUUUUGUAGAUAUUUUCACUUAUUCAACUGGAUUGUCACAAUGGAAAACGUGGAAACUUCAGGAAAAAGAACAAUGAAACUAUUUGCUUUGUACUUCAAACUUACUACAGUGUGGUGAUUUUUAUGAAGGUAGUUAUGAGGAUAGAGCAAAAUUCAAAACGCAAGUGAGAUGAAUGCAUUUAACUCUCGUUGAUGAUCUCCUGGUAGACUUUUCCAAAACUAUAAACUCAUCUGAAUUCUUUAUAGUUAUGGAUGGCUGUCUUUCUUAAAAUAAAUAAAUAAUCCUUUGAGCAUGGGUUGAAUUCAAGAUUCAAUGGAUGAAAUAUGGAUUGUCAUGCAAGAGAUCUGAUUUUCAUAGUGUCACAUUAAAGUGCCUACAGUGUUUGGAACAUGCUGAGAGAUUCAAAUUCUGUGAGCUCAAAAGGUGAUGAAACUAAAGCAACAAUGAACAUAGGCAAUGCUGGUAAAUGGGUUUUGACAGCUUGUCUGACUCUACCUGAGCUAUGCUAGUAUCAUUUUACAGAGAAUUCUAGCUGGGACAAAAGAAAUAUGAAAUAUUUGGCCCUUUCUGAAAUUUACCACACUUACCAAUCUUACUUCUAAGUCAGGCAUGAUGUACAGGAAUGAUUAUUAGUAAGCAUUUCGUAGUUUUGUUUGGUUUUCCCUUUCUCUCAAAUCAGUAAACAACCUUGUCUAUAGCUUGUGGACAUUGGGGGGCACUAUAGCCUCACUAAACAAUUCAAAUGCCUUCUAUCUUAAAUUUUGCUAUGUUGGCUCAGCUUCUUUUCUCCAUGUAGUGUAACUAUCUAAGGCAAGUGGAAAAACAAACAAACAAACAAAAAACCCAGAAGUAAUAGCAUGUUUCUUUUCCUUCAUUUAUUUAUUUUUGUUAGUAAUUGUUUUGCUCUAAAUAGCAGUGGAUUUCUGACCAAGAACUGAUGUUGCUUAGGUUAAGGAACUCUUUGUUUUGAGUGCUAAUCUACAGAUUCUCUGUGAAUCUUUUUACAGCAAAUGGAAAAAUGUGCUUUGCAUCCAAUCUGCUUUUGUGUGUUUGUGUCCCAGCCAUUUGUAAUGAAGUUGUCCACUAAUGUAAAAAGCACGUUUUAGACCUGUGUAGUUUAUUCUCAUUUACUUCAGUUUAAAAUGAUUUCUGAGUUAAGAAAUGUUUUUCCAUUGGUGACAUAGCUCACAUGGAUACUGCUAUAUACUUCUGUGAAUGAAAAAUCUCCUCUAAGUAGUUUACUUUUUAGGACACAAUUUAGUCUAUCUAAUUGGAUUUUAAUCUUCAUGUUACAAAAUUUAUUACAGAUUGGGAGAUAUUUGUAUGUACACCACAUUCAAAUUUAAUGUAUUACUGGUAUAAGGUAUACAAGUACCUCUUCUAGCUGCAGUAUCUGUUUUUUUUUCCUUGGGUUAAAUAUAUUGUACAGUACAAAAUAUUCAAAUUGUAGAUAACUACAAGCAUUUUUUAUUAGUUUAAUUUUGCCAAUAGACAGAUAGCGCCUUUUGAAUACUGACUGGCCAUAUGGUUUUAACUAGUGUGGGACAGAAUAAACAAAUAAAAAGGAAUACAACAUUUGGAUUAAUCUUUUUUUUUUUUUUUCUUCAGUUUAUGACUGUAUUUGAAACAAAAGUGCAGAACUAAGUUUUGCAGUUGUUUCAGUAUGUCUAAUAGUAGAGCAAUGUCCAGUCAGUCUCCAAGCAGUGGCCACAAUGGAAAUCAGAAACACCUCCUCCUUUUCUUCCUCCAACCCAGUUUUUUUUUGUGGAGAAUGAGGUUACAUGGUAUGAGAUAUCUCCUUGGCCAGUUCAGGUCAGGGUUUGCAGCUGUGCUCCCUCCCAACUUCUUGCUCAGUGUUGGGAUGUGCUGGGUGGAAGGAUGGCAGCAGAUGGGCUCCUAUGAAGAAAGUUAACUCCAUCCUGGCCAGACCCAGCACACCAAGUCUUUGUGGCUUUUUAGGUAAAAUUCAACAAAUCAGUUGUUUUCUGUACUCCAGUUACUGGGCUUGACUGUACAUGUCAUAGGAAUUUUCUCAUAAAUUGUGAUUUUUCUUUUGUAUUUUUUGUAAAUAGUGAUUUAUGUUAAGUCUUCUUACUACAGUUAAGCAGCAUUGCAUACUGGCAAUGUCCACAAAACAAUUUUUUUUUUCCAGAGU